rnacentral:rRNA from 1 species
UACGAGGGGAGCAAGCGUUGUUCGGAUUUACUGGGCGUAAAGGGCGCGUAGGCGGUCGUGACAAGUCACUUGUGAAAUCUCCGGGCUUAACUCGGAACGGUCAAGUGAUACUGUCGGACUAGAGUACAGAAGGGGCAACUGGAAUUCUCGGUGUAGCGGUGAAAUGCGUAGAUAUCGAGAGGAACACCUGCGGCGAAGGCGGGUUGCUGGGCUGAUACUGACGCUGAUGCGCGAAAGCCAGGGGAGGCGAAGCGGG